AGAAUCAACGCUGGCGGCGUGCCUAACACAUGCAAGUCGAACGAGAAAGUGGAGCAAUCCAUGAGUAAAGUGGCGCACGGGUGAGUAACACGUGACUAACCUACCCUUGAGUGGGGGAUAACCUAGAGAAAUCUGGGCUAAUACCGCAUAAUACCUUCGGGUCAAAGGAGCAAUUCGCUUAAGGAGGGGGUCGCGGCCGAUUAGUUAGUUGGCGGGGUAAUGGCCCACCAAGACUAUGAUCGGUAUCCGGCCUGAGAGGGCGCGACGGACGACGACUGGAACUGAAACACGGUCCAGACUCCUACGGGAGGCAGCAGUGGGGAAUUUUGCGCAAUGGGGGAAACCCUGACGCAGCAACGCCGCGUGGAGGAUGAAGUCCCUUGGGACGUAAACUCCUUUCGAUAGGGAAGAUAAUGACGGUACCUAUAGAAGAAGCCCCGGCUAACUUCGUGCCAGCAGCCGC
rnacentral:rRNA from 1 species